rnacentral:SRP_RNA from 1 species
GCCAGGUAUGGUGGCUCACGCCUGUAAUCCCAGCACUGGGAGGCUGAGGCAGGUGGAUCACCUGAGGUCAGGAGUUCGAGACCAGCCUGGCCAACAUGGUGAAACCCUGUCUCUA